UGCGCCCUACGGGGCGCAGCAGUGGGGAAUAUUGCACAAUGGGGGAAACCCUGAUGCAGCGACGCCGCGUGAGCGAAGAAGUAUUUCGGUAUGUAAAGCUCUAUCAGCAGGGAAGAAAAAUGACGGUACCUGAGUAAGAAGCACCGGCUAAAUACGUGCUAGCAGCCGCGGUAAUACGUAUGGUGCAAGCGUUAUCCGGAUUUACUGGGUGUAAAGGGAGCGUAGACGGCAGCGCAAGUCUGAAGUGAAAUCCCAUGGCUUAACCAUG
rnacentral:rRNA from 1 species